GUAGGGAAUCUUCCGCAAUGGACGAAAGUCUGACGGAGCAACGCCGCGUGAGUGAAGAAGGUUUUCGGAUCGUAAAACUCUGUUGUAAGGGAAGAACACGUACCAGUUAACUGCUGGUACCUUGACGGUACCUUACCAGAAAGCCACGGCUAACUACGUGCCAGCAGCCGCGGUAAUACGUAGGUGGCAAGCGUUGUCCGGAAUUAUUGGGCGUAAAGCGCGCGCAGGCGGUCCCUUAAGUCUGAUGUGAAAGCCCACGGCUCAACCGUGGAGGGUCAUUGGAAACUGGGGGACUUGAGUGCAGAAGAGGAAAGUGGAAUUCCAUGUGUAGCGGUGAAAUGCGUAGAGAUGUGGAGGAACACCAGUGGCGAAGGCGACUUUCUGGUCUGUAACUGACGCUGAGGCGCGAAAGCGUGGGGAGCAAACAGGAUUAGAUACCCUAGUAGUCC
rnacentral:rRNA from 1 species